ensembl:lncRNA
UGAGGAAGAAGUGGGAAGUGGCUUUGAGGAGAGAAGGAUUCACUGCAAGUGAUUAUUCAAUUGUCUGUAGUCAACAUUUUAAGCAAGCUGAUUUUGACAGGACGGGUCAGAUUGUCAGACUACGUGAUGGUGUUAUUCCAUCCCUCUUCAGCUUCCCGGUUGACCUCCAAAAAUUGGUAAAGGGCAGGGCUACGUCUACCUCCAGAAGAGCUGAAGAAAGCCUGUCUGUGGCCUCUAACGAUUCCCCAGAAAUGACAACCUCACACCCAAAACCUCAGCCUAAUGAUGCAAAAAUCAAUGAAUAUUUGGCAAGAGUGGAAAGUCUGAAGCGAGGAAAGAAGAAUGCC